GACGAACGCUGGCGGCGUGCUUAACACAUGCAAGUCGAACGGAAAGGCCCUGCUUUUGUGGGGUGCUCGAGUGGCGAACGGGUGAGUAACACGUGAGUAACCUGCCCUUGACUUUGGGAUAACUUCAGGAAACUGGGGCUAAUACCGGAUAGGAGCUCCUGCUGCAUGGUGGGGGUUGGAAAGUUUCGGCGGUUGGGGAUGGACUCGCGGCUUAUCAGCUUGUUGGUGGGGUAGUGGCUUACCAAGGCUUUGACGGGUAGCCGGCCUGAGAGGGUGACCGGCCACAUUGGGACUGAGAGACGGCCCAGACGCGUACGGGAGGCAGCAGUGGGGAAUAUUGCACAAUGGGCGGAAGCCUGAGGCAGCAACGCCGCGUGCGGGAUGACGGCCUUCGGGGUGUAAACCGCUUUCGCCUGUGACGAAGCGUGAGUGACGGUAAUGGGUAAAGAAGCACCGGCUAACUACGUG
rnacentral:rRNA from 1 species